rnacentral:tRNA from 1 species
GGAGAGAUGGCUGAGCUGGUCUAAGGCGCACGACUGGAAAUCGUGUGACGUGUUAAAGCGUCCGAGGGUUCGAAUCCCUCUCUCUCCGCCA